UUUGUUUAUUACACUAAGACACAUGUUUAUGCAUGUAGACUUAUUUUCUCGCCUGGGAAGCUGUACAAUAGUAUAAACCUAUAUAUAGGUUUAUACUGUUAGGUAGUUUAUAUUAUUAGGUAGUUUACACUAUUAUAGGUAUAUAUAAAACCAGACUAACUUUUCUGUCUGUACAGAAAAUUACUGUUCUAGCACAAGUGUGCUUGAGUAAAAACAUCAUGAAUUAUAUCAGUGGUCAAAUGAGGCCUCAAAAAUCAGUUAUUCCUCACCCAGAAAGUUGGAUUCAAGUGUAAGCCAAGUCAUGAGAGCAUAUAUAAUUCCUACAGAUGUUUGCUGUAUUAAGAAGCAAUGGGCCAUAUGUACAGUCUUGCAAAUUUUAAGUGGGAGAGAAACUUCGUAUGAAAAUGCUAAUUGUAAUCACAGCCUAAAAUGUGUGCUGCCAGAAGCCUUUAGUAAUCACACUCAGCCUCUCGCCUUCUUGCUCCAUACUCAUGCACAGAUCCUGCAUUUUAUGUGUAUCCUACGUCUAGCUCAUGUUUUUCCCCUAUUAACUUGUAACUACAGUGCCUGCCUUACAGCUGCCCAGAAUCUAUUCUACCCAGUCAGCAGCUACAUCCCUGCUGGAAAGGAUGAAAGCACCGUCCAGCUAAUCAAGCCCUUGAAGAGGGCAGCAGCCUCUGUGGCUAUUAAAGAAGGUUACAGUAGGCUCAAACUGUUCAGAAGAGAAACACAAAUAACCCCUUAUGAGCUUAAAUAAGGCACAUUCAAAUGUGUUUAAUUGUGCGUGCCUGUCUGAAAAUCUGGCUCAUCUUUCUUCUUUCCAUUUUUCACUCAGAGGGUCACUAGUGCCUGAAAACACUGAUAUGCCAAGGAAGCCAGUUCCUCGUGGGAGCAUGACUCUGCUCCACACAGACAUUUUCCCUUCUGUCACUUGGCAUAAUUCAGUAUGUGACUUGAAAAUCCAAAAUAUAAACAAGAGAAAGGAACCAGGGCCAACAAUGUUCCAAGCAGAAUUCUGAAACCUUCCCAGUAAGUGAAAAAUACCUCUCCUCUAGAAAUACUACCCAUUUCUCCAUUGUUUUAAGCUUAAUCAGAACUAUUUCUUUGCAGGGCUUCAGAGGAAAUGGGGGCAAAAAUACCAUAGUCAAACAUACACGUAUUAGACUGUAAAAAACACUACUCAAUGCGAUACACAGCCAAGUUUCUCCCAUCUCAUAGUUCUCCUCUUCCUGUGAACUGCUUAUUUCUUUUCCGUUUCUUUCUCAGGAUCAUUUUCACCCAUAACUUUGUUGUUCUUUAACACCUUUUAAAUUUAGUUAUGAAAUACAGAAGUAUGUAUUUAAAUAUAUCUUUGUUCCUGCUGCUCUCGUCUCUGUUACAAAUGCAAGUUAAAAACCUUCAGUGUAUUCAUGCAUCAUUCUAAGGAGGAAAGAACUGGCCCCUAUACUGUUCUUUACUAGCUUCUGGUUGUUCCCAUGUCCCAGGAUGCAUCGCAGUUUUGCAGGUUUUUCCUGAAAAUUGAAAAAUUAUACACCUGAGCCAAACAAAUGGAAAAUACACCACAGGCACACACAGGCACCUUCUAUAAGCCAGAAUUGAGGUGUUACCCUGCCUUCAGUUCCAGUGAGUGCUGAGCCUCUCCCAGCAUGGCAGUGAGCAGCAGGAGGCAGUAAUGUUAAGGUAUCUGUGAAGUAGUUGCUUAAAUAAUGAUAUAUCUUCAUUCUCCAGGUGGAGCACCUGUUUUUUCUCUGGAAGGUGAAACCCGGAGCUUCGUUACUUAGGGUGACACUGACCUACAUGUGGAGAUUCUUUACUAACAGUUAUGGCAAUCUUCCUCAGCAAUCGCUUUGGUAAUUGCUCCACUAUCUCUUCACACAAGUUGCACUUUUGGUACUCACAAAAUCUCUCCAACAUCCAUUCAGAGCUGUUAAUGCUUUCAUGACAUGCUGCUAUCAAGGCAACCAAGUGAACAAGGAAGUGGUUGCAAAAGCUACUUGAUCCUUUGGCUCCUUCAGGUCCUUUGGCUCCUCCCUUAGUGCAGAGGAGCUCUUGUCUGUAGUUUUAUUAUGAAAAGUAUUCAAAAAAACUAAGACAAAGACACUAAAAUGCAAUUCUUCACUCACAGAGCUGCACCUGCAGCAUGGACCAUAUCCACGCAGUUCUGAAACAAUCCAGUGUUGCUGAUGGCUCAAGUGUCACUUCAGAGCCAGAUUUAGAAAGGUCAGGCUAGCACAGGUGUUUUAAUGGAGAUGGUUUCAUCUUUUUAAGUGUUUGAAUUUGAAGUUCAAACAUUUAAUCUUUCAAAUUAAGGAAAACUGAGAGUUCAUGGGAGUGUAGAGGGCAUGAUGCCUUUGUGAGAAUUAUUAAACUGAAUUAACAACAGUGAAAAUUUCUCAACUGGGAGGAAGAGAAGGGAGAAGAAUUCAAUGCAAGUUAAUACUCCUAGCUAAAGAGUUAAAAGAUCCAUUCUGUACUUUGUUGGUGAAAUUAUUUUGAGGAGAAAAAAAGAAAAUAUUUAUCAGUGUCUAAACAUGAUGCUGUAGUAAAUGAGUAGUUGUCAUUUCUUGUAAAAAAAAAUACAGUCUUAAUUUUAGUAUUUCCAGUGUUGUGGUCUUGCAUGGCUGUAGGCAAGUUGCUGGAAUGGUUAAUUCUCGCCUCUGCCAUUAUAAUGUACCUUAUUUCUAAUUUGAAUUAUGUCCAAUUUCAGCUUCCAGGCAUUCAUCCUGUCAUAAGUUGAUUAUUGUAAUAAAUAUUGUUAUUACCAAAUUUUACUCCUAUAUGCACUCAUUAACUGAAGAGCAGAGUCUGCAGUGCCCACAGGCUGUUCAAGCAGGGAUAAGCACCCUCUUUGCAACCUUCUCUUUUCUCUCCUGUGGUUUUCUCCAGCAUGUGGGAGAGGUGAAGGACUACAGGGUCUUGUGGAGAAGAGGUCACAGGGCCAGGCUUGUACUUCUAGGGGAUCAUAUUUGAACCUAAGGUCCCAAAGCAGCACAUACCCCUCAGAACAGGGCAGACACCCUGUCUUUAGCUGGCCCACACUCACAUGCACUUCAGAGAGACUGUAAGCUUCUUGUCAAUUGUGUUGUGUGGAAAAUAAUUCUACGGAGAAUUGACAUUUAUAAUAUACACAUGUAAACAACAACAUGCUGCAGGGGAGAGGGGGUCGCUUUUUUUUCCUCUACAUUAUGAUCUGUGCAAGGAAAAUGUUGUUGAGUUUAGGACUCCCACUCUCAGUAGUCAUCCCACCAAACCUGAAUUCAACAGUUCUCACAGACAUGUGGCAGGAUUAGAUACUUAUAUUCUUGGCUGUUAAUUAAUUUUACCACUAAUUCUAAUGUAUUUACAGGAGCCUCUGUUCCAUAAGAAAUUCUAAAUUUGGCCGAAGUCUGAGUUUUAUGCAAUUAAUGAUGGAAGUUUUUCAUAUGUGAGUAGAUUUCAGUGGUACGCAAGCUGUAUUGUGUACUGUACUUGAGUUAAAGCACUGUAAGCUAGAGAAAUUACAACUAUUUGUAGAGUUCAGUCUGUUGUGUAUAUUUCUAUGUUACUAAUGCAGGCUGUGUUGCUAGGUGCACAUUUCAAGCCAGCUAAGGAUUUACAACUUGCAGGUAUGUAAUGAUAUUGGCACUUACUCUUUGUUUACUUACAGAGAAAGUAACAAAUGCAAAACUUCAAUAAUAAUGAAACAACGGUAAAACAAACAUUGGGGAAGACAUUGAAAUACAAAUUUCUACUCCAAACAUUUGGACAACAUUGAAAUUAAUGAAAAAGUUGUCUUACGGAGCUAAGUCUAGAUCUAGGUCAGGCUAAGUUAACUAAGGACAGGAAGAUAUUGGCAAAUUCUUAGUCCCAGAUGAAAAACACAUUAGGUAAGUUUCUUUUACAUAGUCAAGUGUAAAGUCCAGCCACUGGUACCACUACCCCACUUACAGAACACCAAAAGUGCCCUCAAAAUGACUACAAUUUUUACAAUAAACUAGUGUUGCGUUUUUUUUCUUGAGUAUCACUUUUGUGUCUCACUGAGAACUGUCAGCUUGACCAACCCCAUUUCAUUUCUGGAAAAACUCAUUAUUUCAUUUCCAACAUCCCAGGACUGAGGAAAUCCAUUUCAGUAAGCACAGUCUGAAGGAGGUUCAUGGUGCAAGUGGUACAGUGACAUCACCACCACCACCUUGUCUCACAGCAGGUGAUGUCCAGCCACUUCCUGGGAAGUAGGGCUUCAGUAGGAGUGGCAGAUGCUCCAGAAGACAAAUGUCAUAAUGACAAGUGCCCCCCACCCCUCCUCCUUUCUCUUAGCUUUUGUUGCUGAGCAGACGCCACACAGUAUGGAAUACCCCUCUGGUCAGUUUGGGUCAGCUGUCCUGGCUGCAUCCCCUCUCAAGAUCUUACACACCCCCAGCCUAUAGUGACGGGGGGAAUGCUGAAGAGACAGGCCUGAUGCUGCGCCUGGACCACCCAGCAGUAGCCAGCACACUGGUGCGUUAUCAACAACUUUCCAGCUACCGAGACAGAGCACAGCCUGGGAGGGCUGCUGUGGGGAAAAUCAGCUCUACCUCAGCCAGACCCGAUACAGAACUAAAAACCAUCUUCUCCAGCCUUCCUGUGAUGGAGGCUAUGAUGAUCACAACCAUUUAAGACCUACCCUGGUUUCCAAGAAUGAUGAAUUUUCAUUGUCAUUGCCUUUACAGCAUUAAAUACAACACUACUAAAUUGUUAGCAACCAGACCUGCAUGAGAGCUUCAUGGGUUUAUUCAACUUAAGUGAAAUGAAAACCUAUUUUAUCAGGUCUUCUUACAUAAUGAACAAUGUCAGUGAAGCACAGCCUUGGCUUCUGUAUAGACCUCAUGUUGUUACCCCAAGUUUGCAUGGUAUUAAGAGCUACCACUGUUUAUAAAAUCCACAGAGGAGCAGAGUGGGCAAGUCAAGUCACUACAACAGAGGUCAGAAGGUGAUAGCCUCUCUCUGCCCCAUUCUCAGUUCAUGCCAUCUCCUUCAUAUCCAUGCCUCAGACUCACUGUUAAUGCUCUCCCCUCUGGCUUUUUAGGGACAAAAGCACUUAAAAACCUAACAAGAUUGCUUUAACAUCACCCAUGGUAAAAAGCCUCCAUCCAACUUUAUCUCAGGGCUACUUAGGAUCACAGUCUGGAGUUUUCUACCAACAGACUCUCUCUGAACAGGUUUCUGCUGCUUGUACUCAACCUGAACCACUUGCAGUUGAGCCACGCUCUGCGAUUAGAAAUGUUUUGCCACCUACUGAAGCUGUGUAGCAGUCACACAGGCACUGCCAUGUCUGCCGAGCUGCCUUAAGCUUCCAUCAAGCAGAUCCCACUUCAGGGUUCCCCAGCUGUAAGCUGCUAAACUGUGCAAAAUGGGCAACCCGUGACAUUUGCGAUGUGGCCUCAGAGGUGUGUGGUUGGGCAGGGGGAGAGAAAGCAGGGCCGAGCUCUGCGGCAUUUUACUGGGACAGUUUGUACUCCAGUAAAAUGACACGUGCAUACAGGUGCACAGUGUAAAGAUGUCUGAGGGCAGAGCUUGGCAGAAAUCCUUACUCAGGGACAAGAAGUUGAGCUAAGCACAAACUUGAGCCCCGCUUCCCCCACACACAGGCACAGCUGCCUGUGGGACUGGCACAAGCAGUUGCUUGUCUGUGCUUGCCUUCCACUGGUGCUCAUUAGCAAGGAAAACAAAGUUGGUUGAACAGAGCUGGCAGGAAUCCUACCACUGCGUUUGCUAAAUGGAUCUAUUAAAAUGUAAACAGAGAUCACAUUGCAGGGCAUCAUCAUAAAAUACCAUGGAUGACGUCUUGGCCAAUUCCCAAACAGUGCUGCUUCCUCCUCCAUCCCGUCACAUUUGGCACUGGCUGCCCCUAUGCUGCUGCUCCUCUUGCACAUCUUGUUUGCAGUUAUCUUGCCUUUUCCUCCCCUCCCUCCAAAGAGUUGCCCACUGGGUCCUGUGAAGGUUCAUCCUUAUCCACCCGUCGCCUGCAGCACGGUGCUUCAGUCUCACACCCCACAGAGGUAUCGCGACAUCACCGCACAUUUUGGAGCCAUGCAACCUCUCCGAGGCUUUCUGCUGUAGGAAGACAGGACUCUGGGGCCUCAGUCUCCCCUUGCUGUGCCUACAGAAGCCCCUGAGUUUGCAAUUUAGCCUUGAUGGGGCACAUGACAGGCCACACAGGUUUCACCUGUCUUACUCCUGCCUCACUGAUACACAUCUAGUAGGAGUUUCUAUCGCCUCUUUGACUUUCAAAUGAACGUUUUCCUGCUUUCUCCCCUGCUGCCACCCCUCAUUCUCCCAGAGGACUCUCAGAAAGCCACCACCAAACCAUGAGUUUGUUCUCUUUCAAGACUUCUUUAAAGCCAUGCACCCAUCUCCCUCCCUGCCACCCCUGUCUGCAAGAUCUUGACAAAAAUUGGUAAGAUGCUGGGGGAAGGUUAAGGUUUUCUGGUUUUACGACUGUGACUUGGCUAGCUGUUGUCUUCAUCUCUUUGUCCUUCCUUUUCUGUUCUUGUGUGGUUUAUUCCCUCCAGUACAUCAGCUGCAUGCUCCUUGUCUCUCCAUCCUCUGGGGUACUAGACCUCAACAGAGGCUUCAAAGCUUUAAAUUAACAAAAUAAUUACCUCUGCUGGUAACAUCAUAAACUCCAGAACAGGCCAAAGCAGCAGCAGUCUUGUGGUGCAGAGGAAAGCAGGAGUUCUCGGCUCCGAUCCAGUUCUGGCAGAGAUUUAUUAUGUGCAACUGGGGAGCUUUUUGCCUCACUUUCCCUGUCUGUAAAUGAAAAAGACAAUGUCCGCUCUGUUAGACACACUUAAACGACAAGCUCCCUGGCAGGACAAUUCACUGCUUAUCCAUACAGCACCAGGUACAGCAUGUACAGAGCUGUUUAUCUGUACAGGGAAGCUUUGGCCUCUGCUGGUACCUCCAGCCACGACCAACAAAAUGAGCAGGUAGGAACACAGGUUAGAAACCAGUUAGUGGCACUCAGGGAAGAGUUUCUUAGGGAAGCUAAAGAGAGAUGCUAUUUUGUAUCAUUCUCUACAAGCUGAUAUAUUAAUGAUCUUUAAGUCCAUUCUGCUCAUGGUACGUAUAAUAAUGAAACAAUCUUGACCAAAUAGAAUGCAUAUUACAGAUAUAAAAAAGUUGCACUUUUAGAAACCUAGAUUCUGCUUGGGUACUGAAGUUUAGAAGUUUUAAUUUCACUCCUUGAGUAAAACUAUGUAACAUACCUUUCAAGAGAAGCUGGUUUAUUUUAGUUGUACCGGAGAUAAUGGAAAAAAAACAAACAAAAAACAACAAACAAACAAAAACAACCACCAAAAAACAAACCCAACUUAAAUCCUGUCUGCAAUCUGGGAAAAAUAAUAUUUGAAUGACAGAGCACCAUUUUCUUCCAGAAGAUCAGCAAUAGUUUAUUAUUCUAAGGGUAUAUUUAGACUAUUGCACUUACGCAGUUGCUUUAAUAUCAACUAUAUUAAGAUCUUUCUGAUAGCUGAUCACAUUCAUAAGCAACUGAAGCUCCUCCAUGAUCCGUUACACCAGGUAGCUCUCAGACCACCGUUUCAGCAGGUGUGUGUACACAUGAGAUCCCUUCACAGACAGGUAACAAGGCAGGUGAGUGCAACACUGCACUUUCCACCCUUUUCAGUGUGCUGCAUGAAGCCACAUGGCCCAAAAUGUCAGCAAGCAAAACACUGCUUUUAGAGCACUCAGUAACAUUCCUGCAGUUUGGGGAUUAAAAACAUUGAUUUUAAAACUGUUUCCUGCUUCUUUGGUGCUGUCCCAGUGCUUGCGCUGGCGAGCUGGAAAUCAUCCUGGUAACUGUCAAGUUCAGCUUUGCCUAAAGAACAGAAAUAGUUUGAGAUCAGGAAGAGCAAGGCAGGGAACAAAUACAGAAGGUUCUCAGAGAUAUUCAAGAACUUCAGUAACUCUUCCUCUUUUGUAGUGAGAUGACCCCAGAUUGCAUAGUAAGUUAAACCAACUUUUAAAAAAUAGCAAAAAAGAAUGGAAAGAUGACACAAACACAGCAGUAACUGCUCUUCAUAUUUUCUGCUCCAGGCCAGUUCCAUGUGUAUGCUUUGUUCUCCUAUGCCUUGGAUUCCGACCCAGCAGAACACUCUGGUUUGCAUCUGCAUGAGCUGUCUAGGGCUAACUGUGGUCUUGAGGUUUUGUAGGAGGGUUCAUGAACAUGGUACACAUGGAAACCUGUGAUCGACAAGAAAAACCUGCAGCAUAGCUUAACUUGCCCAGCAGUGUGGAAAAAAACGUUAAGAACUUGAGGGUUUUUAUAUUUUGCAAACAGAAGGAAGUUCGUUUCCUCUGUUAGCUCACCAUAGCAUUAUGUGCAAAAACACGCCUGGAGCUCCUGAAAUACCUUUAUUUAUUUCUGCAUCUACCAAAUUUAUUUAUAGAGCCAUCUGGAAAACACUGGCUUUUCAUUUACAAGAUACUAUGGAGCUUUUCAGAAUUGCUUCAUAAACGAAACUCUUUAAAAACACCCACACCUACAGAAAUUGUCAACUAUAAUCAAGUCCUGGGACUUUUUAUUGAUGUAUUUAAGGAGUAUUGACAGGACAGUUAAAACAGCCAUAUUAAUGCAUAUAUAGGUAAUUCUCUAUGUGCUAACUUUACCAUGUUAAUCAAUCUAGUGAUCAGCAAAUGUGUCUAAUACAUUACACAUCCCUGUAAGAAACCACAAAUACUUCAGUUAUGUCUCAUUUGAAUGCAGUCUUGGGGCAUUUUCAAACAGUUUAAAAAUAAAUGGGAGCAAAUUCUUAAAUGAAAUAUAAUAAAGAUGCAGGCUUAGAACAUCUGGUGCAAAAGGUGAAAACUGGGAAACACAAGUGUCCUGGGUGGCAGAUGAAUGCAUAAAGGGAAGAGAAGGUCUCACUCACUGCACUUGCCACCGAGCUAGCUCAUAACAACCAAGAGUUACAGUUCACUCACUGUCUAGGCAUCCUGGCAAUAAACCACAACAGAAAUGUUAAAAUAAUAACACGAGUAAAAAUAAAUAAGGAUUUGGGCUUAUUUUAGCCAAGAUGUUUUAACAAAAUGCCACCAUUCAUUCCUUGGCAUGUGGUAAGAAGCCUGUGUGCUCCUAUUACAUUUCUUAAUUGCCUUCAUACUUUCUACUAUUUGCAACAGUUAGGACUCAAUAAAUUCAACCCAACUAUAAGAAUUAAUUCCAACAAUCAUUUAAUCUUCUUGUCACUCUAAUACCACACACAUAUAGAAGACCACCCAAGAUCUUCAUUAUUACCUUGUUGAUGGUUUGCCAUCCAGAGGUAUUCCUUCUGACCCACACAUUGUUAUAUGUCUUCAUUUACCCAUCAAGAUUGUUUUAUAAAAUGUUCAUCUCUUUCUAAUAAACUAGGUUGACUAGUACUAGAUUUUGGGGGAAGCACAAACACUAUCCUAGUUGAUCCAAGACACUGGUUUUCUUACUGGUAUUGUCUCUGCCAUACUGGCAUAAUGACAAGUAUAAUUGUUCCCUUCUUAGUUUUGUCAAAAAGAUCUAAUGUUGAACCAUGCAACUGCUUGACAUCUAAGGGCUCAUUGGUAGCAUAAUUGUUCCAUUUACAUGUUCAAGUAUACCAAGCAUACAUUUUUUAAAAGUGUAGCAUAGUAAAUGCAACUCUGUUUCUAUCUGUUCCUACUGCAAAUCUACAGCUACACAAACUUUAAAAAAAAAUACUGUGUGUCGGCAAGGAACAUCCCCAUUUCCCCUGACCUCUCAUUUAUCAAUCCUAAAUUGAGGCAGUUCACCAAGGUCAUUGUUAUAGUGAAGACUUGAGACUUCCUUCUUCAAAUGAAUCCCCUAAUUACUGUUAUAAAAUGUUACACUAUUCAUUCUCUAGAUGUCCAAGAAUUCUAAGACAACAUUUUGAGAUCUCCAUUUAUAAGUAAUAGUUCCCAUCCUAAAACACGUCAGACUCAAUUUCCUUCAAGAUGUGGCAAUCAGCUCACGUAUCAUUGAGUAUCCUCUGCAGCACGCUGGUGAGUAUUGCAGGCUUUGCAAUGCUGAAAUACCCAAGAAACAUCUUCAAUUGUUACCAGAUUCAAACACAGGAACGUAAUUCAGAGGCAUGUGCAGCUGGGUGGUUGCUGACAGAGCCAGAAUUUCCAGUCCAGGGUCCAUACUUCUUCCUCUCUUGCUUCUGAUAAGCAGAAACAAAAGCACCUAAAAUAAAGCAUUUUUCUCUAAAACAAGAGACAUGAAACUCUGAAUGCAAACUUUACAUCCAAUAGCACAGCAUAAAUGUUGGCGGGAAUAAUUACAGUUUAAGGAAGUGUUCCAAACACUUUAGUGGUUUACCUUUCUGCCUUUGUUCUUCAUAGAUCUGCAGCGCUGAAACCAAAGACAGAAAUCAGAACCACUGUACUUGAUGUAGAGGCAUUGCAGCCCCCAGAAGCCCCAGUAAAAGUUCACUGAGUCCCUUCAGCUACUUCAUCUGCUGUGUGUGUAUUCUGUAUUUUUUUAAUUUGGAUCUGAAGUAGCAAGUGUUGACAUACAUUGUACUCACAGGUACUCAACUCUGUUAGUAAUUAAGAAUUUCUAUAUUAAAAACAUCCAGAAUAGUGAACUGUGGGUCUGUGUGCUUCAGCUGCAGUCUAACACGCUUGUCAGGACCAGUAAUACCAAGUGUGCUGCCUGGGGUGUGACAGCCCCAUUGGUGAUCCACUCUGUCUUGGAGUUCCCUGGACCUUCUUUUUUUUCUCCACUGUUACUAUACUUCCUCAAUUAUGACUUUAAAUUAGUACUGAGAACUCUCCUGAACUCCUCCCAGCAUUUCUCAUUGCCAGUUCUGAGUUCCUGUGGCAACAGGCUGCUCAAGUACCACCUUUAUGGGAUAUUAGCAGCAUUGAAUCUUUAUUCAGACCAUGAGAGAAUAAGACUGAAAUUAAUACUGAACUGAAAAUGUAACAUGUUCCCAUAAAAAUACUGGUGCCAAGAUAGCAACAGGAGUACAUACAAUAAUAUUUUCUGACAUUCUGUAUUCAGAAAAGCAGAGAACUUUCAAAAUACAGAUUUCAACUUAUCUAAAGGCACGAGGAUGCACAAUUUGAAGAAAUGCAUGUCUUGAACCCAUGUAGGACAGAACACCAUGACAGCAAGCUGAGGCCAGGCCGGCAGCAGCAGUAACUGAAGUUACCCCCACCCCACUCCCAUCAGCCGAAAUACCUGUGCCAGUUUGCAAUCUGGUACAGAAAAGGGGAACAGAAGACAAGAAGUUGCCAGAUAUCCUCACAAUUGGUUGUUAGGCCAUCUGCAAAUAGUUCUGGUAAGCAACCAAGGAAAGGAGCACUGUAUAAUCACCUGACAGAGAGCUGUAAGUUCACAGAUCGAAUUGUUACCUUGCGUUGUCCUCACCACACUCACUUUUGCCUUCCUUUUUUCCACGGCAUGUGACAUCCCCAAGUCCACUGGCUCCUGCAGGGUAGAGGUAUCAGUUGUGGCCUGACCAGUGGCUCUCCUCACCACUGGCAGCCGUUAAGAAUAUCCAGCCCCCGUGACCAAACACCUUCUGCUUCUCUUGCACACUGCACUGCCAAAGUGUUCAUCUCAUGGACAAACUGGAACUGGCUUGAACUGUUGUUUACAUCUUGCAUAAUUUAAGGUCCCAUCCUGCUUCCAUCAAGCUCAAGAACAAGCAGUUACACGUAUUUCAAAGAUAGAGGGUCUGACUCCUUAUCUGAGAAGCUUCCCUCGACAGACACCCUGUUGACAGGGGCCAACCUCCCUUAUUUUCCCCUCUCUGCUUCCCACCCCCUACUUGGUGUAAUAAGAAGUGCAGAGUCCAGCAGUCUGUGCACAGGACAGGGGAGCGCAUGGGGGAAAGGGCAGGGCUCAGCCCCUCCAGAAAAGCAGGUAUCAAGAUACAACUCACUAUUACCCCCCCAAAAAAAGACCAAGCAGCCAAGUAAGAGAAGACCAUUUUGAGGGGAUGGAGAGAAGCAAUUCCAAAUGAGCAACGGCAAACACAGAUGACCUUUGUGAGGUGGGCCAAAAGCAUCCAUCUGUUUAGGAGUACAAAAGCUUUGCUGAAUAACUGACACGGCAACUAACUGCAUCCAUACGGAGCCCCCUUCCCCUUGGGCUGGCCCCCUCAGAGGGGAGGGCAAGGUGCCUUACCGCAAAGCACAAGAUGCAGCUAUGUGAGCGCGUAGGUGCCUGGCCUCUAACGCCUUUGAAAGCCUCUUUCUGCACCAAAACAUACUGCUUCACACAGUAGCAUGACCUAUAGAGCCCCGUAAGAUCACUAGCCAAGAGAAAGCUGCCAUUCAAAAACAUAGUUUGAAAGCUUGCACUUUCUAUUUAAAACGUUUUCUUAUAUCACCGUCUUUGCUAAUUAGGAUUUUAAUACAGAUAUGCCGUUAUGUCCGUUUAAACACACAUGCCAUAUACAAGCUGGCCACAAAAUAGCUUAUGGCUGACAACUGCCUAAAUAAAUUCCAUCUAGAAAUGAACUGACACCUUUAGAUUCAUCAAAGAAUUUUCACCACAAUCCCAAAGUGUGGGCCAAACCCUAUACUCUACUGAAAUAAUUGCUGGCAUCACCUACUGUCCUGGUUUUGACCAGGAUGGAGUUCACUUUCAUUGGAGUAUUAUAUACCGUGUGAUGUCAUGCCCAGGGAUUUAGGGGGGACUCUCUCCCCUCUCUCUGCUUCUCAGGCCGUGUUGUUGCUGUGAGGGGCGGUCACCACACUCAGUAAGCCACUGCUUCAUUUUAUCUGUUUUCUUUUUGGACUCACUAUUGGUACUGUUGUUCUCUUGCUUUAUUUAGUAAUUUCUUUCUUUUUAUUCAACCUACAAAUUCUCUUCUUUUGUCCCUCCCCUAUUUCACCGCAGGGGGAGGUGAAGGGCCAGCCAUGUGGUGUCUGGCUCUCGGCUGACUUCAAACCUCCACAGUUUUUAGCACCCAACUUGGGGCCCUGAGGUUUUUUUCUUUUUGUUUGAAAUAACAAGAUGGGUGAAAUGUGAAUUGCUUGGCUCCUUAGGAUCUUACCUCAUUUGCAACACGUGUUUCCCAUGCCAUUCCUCACCUGCCAGGAGAGCCGAGUUAACUAUGUGAUGCUCAUCUAUGACAGCGUGUGGUCAUCGGUCCUGAAGCUAUUUACAGUUGUGUUUGAGAAAUCUGGGGAGUUCAGAUAUCUUUGGAAUGUUGACAGAAACAUGUUUGCUGUGCUCUUAGAAGCUAGUGUUUUCCUGCACGUGGUUCAGGUUUUGUUUAUGGUUAAGCUACUAUUUAAGAGUAACCAAGUAACAGACACUGCAGCCACUACAAGGCUGAGGACGGGCGCUGCAGCUGAACCAGGCGCAUCAGGAGAACAUGAGGAGGCAGAGCCAGUGACAGUCACCCAGUCCUUGUCCUUGAGGGAGCUGCAAGACAUAAGAAAAGAUUUCAGCUGCCAGCCAGCUGAGCAACUCAUUACCUGGCUGCUGCGGUGCUGGGAUAGCAGGGCCAGUGGCAUGGAACUAGAGGGCAGGGAGGGGAGGCAGCUGGGAUCCCUGUCUAGGGAAGGGAGCAUUGACAAAGCCGUUGGAAAAGAGACACAAAAUCUUAAGUCUCUGGAAGUGAAUUCUGUCAAGUGUGAGGGAGAGGUAUCCAUCCCUUCAAGGAUAACUUGACAUGUUGACCAAGUAAGUGGAGCACUAUGGGAAGAGGCAUUCAAUAGCUGAGGGAGCUGGCUGUGCGGGGGGUAGUUUACCAUGACCCAGAUAAUGCACGGCCACCCACAGAUCCAGAUGAAGUCCGAUCCACCCGGCCCAUGUGGAGGGCUUUUGUACAGAGCACUCCCUCAUCAUAUGCCAGUGCAUUAGCACUAAUGGACUUGACAGAUGAAGAGGGACCAAAGUGGAUGAACUGGUUCGUCAACUAUGACAAUAUGAAGAAAGUGUCUCUUCCUCCAUCAUUGCGGCUGUGAAACAAUUAUCUCAAGAUGUCCAGUAAAUUAAAGAGAACUUGUCCUACACCCCACCUGCACAGACCAAAAUCUUUGCUAUAAGGAACAAUCAUUUCUCUACUCGAGAGAACCAGUACACACCACAAUGGAUACCACUGCUGCAUUUUUCUCCAUCCCUCUGGCAACAGAAUGCCAGCCACAGUUUGCUUUUACCUGGAGGGGUGUCCAACACACCUGGAACUGACUGCCCCAGGGGUGGAAACACAUCCCCACCAUUUGCCAUGGACUGACCCAGGCUGCACUUGAACAAGGUGAAGUCUCAGGGAGAUUUGAUUUUAGGUGAGAACAGCCAAUGAAACCGGACUGUCAAAUAACCCUGUUAUGGCAACUGGUGCCUUGCAACAUCCCCGUGCCACAUCCAAAGCCUCCUGGCUCCACUGACUGAGCCAACUCCACCUCAUUCCUCAGCCUUACAGACUGUCACAACAGAUGGAACCUGAAGUUAUGGACUACAUGAACUCAGCAAACAUUGUGGAAGGAUGGUCUAUAGACUGAGGGAAUGAUAUCUGUGAGACCUGGGCGGGGGGCGGGAAGGGGUGGCGAUUCCUUAAGAUAUAUUUGGAAACCUGAUAAUAACGUCAAUGGUAUGGAAUAAGGGGUGAAGACUGUCCUGGUUUCGACCAGGAUGGAGUUCACUUUCACUGGAGUAUUAUAUACCGUGUGAUGUCAUGCCCAGGGAUAUAGGGGGGACUCUCUCCCCUCUCUCUGCUCCUCGGGCCAUGUUGUUGCUGUGGGGGGCGGUCACCACGCUCAGUAAGUCACUGCCGCAUUUUAACCGUUUUCUUUUUGGACUCACUAUUGUUACUGUUGUUCUCUUGUUAUAUUUAGUAAGUUCUUUCUUUUUAUUCAACCUAUGAAUUCUCUUCUUUUUGUCCCUCCCCCACAUUACCAGAGGGGGGGAAGUGGAGGUGGCUGCCGGCUGAGUUCAAACCUCCACACCCACUGACUAUGGGAUGCCAUCCUGACAUCUCUUUUACUGCAACAAAAUGAAAUAGUAAAACAUUACUUCAGGAAAAGGCAACAAGCUCGUAUUCAAUAGGAGCACACCUUAAACAACCUUGGUGAGCAUGCAAGUGUUGGAUUUUACUUACAGAGAAAAAAAAGAAACAAAGAGGAAAUUUAGGAACGUGCCAAAUGCAAGUAAGUUUAUUUUCAUGUGUUUGCAGCAGGAUAAUCUCCUGCUGCUCAGAAAUAUUGUACAACAGGUUUACUAUCACCUCUGAAUAAAGAUGGACACUGUUUUCUGCACUGAGGUAGUCUAUCUGGAUUUUUGCUUUUCAUUUACUAGAAAAAAAUCUGAUACUGCUUCCGGAAUGAAAGCUUCCCCUGGGGUUAAACAAUUCACAUGGUGAUGAUUUCUGGAUGCCUGCUACUAGCACAUAGUUUCAGUUACAUAAGUUUUAUAAAGGUCAAAUAUGUUAACAAUGCUGGAGCCAACUUAGAGACAUCAAAACUAACCUAAGAGAUUACAUACAGUCAGACAUGUUAACCUGCCUAAUUUCAAGACAAUUAUUAUUUAUACGAUGACAUAUGUUUUCUGCCUGUGCUCUGUGGUCUCUAAAAUAGCAUUUGCAGUUUACAGAAGCAAGCAAUGCUAACUACUUGUUAACAUGUGGUUUCCAUCUAUGUUUAUUUUAUGGAUAUUAACCUGAAAUUAAGUCAACACAAAAGAAAAAGAAAAUAAUCAAGUAUUUUCAGAGGCAAUACAAGCCUGAGUCUCCUGAGAGCUGCUGUGCUUUUGCAGAAUUUUAAGAUAUGCACAUACAUUUUUCCCCUUCCAUUGCUACUGAUGUAUGUAAAAGGGAGAAAUCAACUUCCUGGAGAAAAAAAGCAUUUUAACUGUGAUGGAUAUUGAUUUGUUAUGUAUCAAAUUCAGAAGCAAGAUAACAGACACAAGUUGUGUACCUCAAACACUUCACUACCAGAGCUCCCCUCUCUGCUGCUUUAAUUCAGAGACAGUUGGCAGAGCACAGCAGAAUCUUGCUCAGUGGACACUUGAAAGCAGGCAGAGGGAACCAGAAGCUCCCUCGCUGUGCAUUUCUGUAUGUAGCACACAACACCAUCUUCAAGAAAUCAAGGCUUAGACAGACCCAGUGACCCUACUCCACCGAGUGUCAAGAUACCAGGAAAAGAGUGUAUAAACACACAAAAGCAGUGCAACAGGCCUCAGAAUCAUCCUUUAGUUCCCCACCCUCACAACUGGUACUGAACCAAGUCAUGUCUGUGAGGGCAUUACUGUAAAUUCAGAGGGAGCUGAAGCUUUUGGUCUAUCGGUUACAAAACUGAAUUCCACAGAAACAGGCAAUAGCUAGUCACCUGGGAGAAUAAAUCUUGAAAGGACACAUGAUCCAGGUGCGUCAUAGCCCUGACACUCACUGCCCGAGUUGUCUCAAAAUAGCACAAAGUAAUUUGAAAAGCAACAGAUAAAGAUGUUGGGCGUAACUUUAAUUUAACACAAGUAAUAAAAAAAAAAA